rnacentral:rRNA from 1 species
ACGUAUGGGGCAAGCGUUGUUCGGAAUUAUUGGGCGUAAAGGGCGUCUAGGCGGGGGAUUAAGUUAGAUGUGAAAGCUAUGGGCUCAACCCAUAAACUGCAUCUAAGACUGGUUCUCUUGAGUCCGGGAGAGGAGAGCGGAAUUCCAGGUGUAGCGGUGAAAGGCGUAGAUAUGUGGAAGAACACCAGUGGCGAAGGCGGCGCUAAGGCCUAGGACUGAGGCUGAAGCGCGAAAGCGUGGGGAGAGAAAAG